CAGCCGCCGCGGUAAUACGAAGGGUGCAAGCGUUACUCGGAAUUACUGGGCGUAAAGCGUGCGUAGGUGGUGGUUUAAGUCUGUUGUGAAAGCCCUGGGCUCAACCUGGGAAUUGCAGUGGAUACUGGGUCACUAGAGUGUGGUAGAGGAUAGUGGAAUUUCCGGUGUAGCAGUGAAAUGCGUAGAGAUCGGAAGGAACAUCUGUGGCGAAGGCGACUAUCUGGGCCAACACUGACACUGAGGCACGAAAGCGUGGGGAGCAAACAGGAUUAGAUACCCGAGUAGUCCCUGUCUCUUAUAC
rnacentral:rRNA from 1 species